UCCGACCCUCGGAGCUCCGGCCUCGUGGCCGUCCUGGCUCGUCCCAGGGUCGGGCGUGCGUGGCUCCAUGCGCUUAACGAGCCGCCACCAGAGCCACCGUAUACGGUGGUUAGGGUUUCAAAAACCCUAUCUUUUCUUUUCCGAUUCUCAGGUAUCAACCUUCUCCCUCUGUUUUUAGUUUCUAUUUUUUAGAUCUGCGUGUGUGCAUGUUAGUAAAUGACCAGAUAAGAUUAAAAAAGAAAAAAAAAUGAUUCGAUUACCUUUGAAAAACGAGAUUCGCUUUUUAUUUCUCUGUUUCAAAAGGAUUACAAUGGUUCGUGCUAUUCUAUUAGGUAAAUCCCUAUACCUUCUUUUUUUGUUUCUCUUUGCUUCUAAAAACUCUCUGUUUUUUGAUUCCCUGCUAUUCUUCUCUCUGCUUUUGUGUGGGUGUAUUUCUGCUAUCAGGUCUCUCUCCCUACCUAUCUUUUUACAGAUUAAAAAGAAGGCUUUAUAGCCUCGACUACUAUAAGUUUUGGAAAGAAAUCUCCGAUUUCUUUCCGUAUUUGCUUUUCAUGUCUGCUGUGAUUUUCUUUCCUUUUCUUGCAGGUACUUGCGAAAAAUCCGGCAAUGGCAAAGGCUUAAUGAUGGUCCACUGGUAGCGUUGAUCUUGGCAUGACUUGGGGCCUGGAAUCAUGGCCUUGACGGGGUAGCAGGAGCUGAAGAGUCAUGAGGCUUGGCUUCUGGAACCUUCUGUUUGCGGCGCGAGGAGAAAGAGGGCAGAAACCCUAGGGUUUCCUGCCUGGGUCUGUAGAUGUUUGGGCCAAUUGGGCCUCUGGAAAUUUUAGGUGUUUUGGGUUACCAGUCUAUAAUGGGUCCAUUGCAACUGUUUGGGACUUAGUUUAGGCUGGGCUAGUCUAGUAAAAUUAGGCUGUUGGGUCUGUGUAUUUAGGCUUUGUAAAAAAACUUUUAUGGACUGUUUAAAUUAAAUAAAUAAAUAUUUAUUAAUUUUUCAGUUUUAAUAAUCUGGGCAAAUUUUGGUGAUUACAGCUGCCCCUCUUUGCUCAUUGCUAUGUAAUAGGAAUUGAGCAAAGACCAUAAAGGACCAAAUUUGCCCGACCUAGCCCAAUCUUUGCGAUCUUUUCCUCGAAUGUUCUUCUACCUUCUCCCUACGACCUCAAGAAUGCUAUGCUGAUAUCUUUGAUCUGUUUUCUGCUGAACACAGAGACACUGAGUCUGCUUCUUCGAUUUGUAAGGAUGUCAAAUCAUCUUGAGUCUGUUUGAGAACAUUUGAGAAUCAUAUCUGCAAGGUUCUCGACUUGUUCCUUGUAAGCACAAGGAUGCCUAAACCAUCUUGAGUCUGUUUGAGAACAUUUGAGAGUCAUAUCUGCAAUGUCCUCGAUUUGUUCCUUGUAAGCACAAUGAUGCCUAAACCAUCUUGAGUCUAUUUGAGAACAUUUGAGAGUCAUAUCUGCAAUGUCCUCGAUUUGUUCCUUGUAAGCACAAGGAUGCCAAACCAUCUUGAGUCUGUUUGAGAACAUUUGAGAGUCAUAUCUGCAACGUCCUCGAUUUGUUCCUUGUAAGCACAAGGAUGCCAAAUCAUCUUGAGUCUGUUUGAGAACAUUUGAGAGUUAUAUCUGCAACGUCCUCGAUUUGUUCCUUGUAAGCACAAGGAUACCAAAUCAUCUUAGAUCUGCUUCAGUAUAAACAUCUGAAGGUUAGAUCUGCUAUAUUUGAGAACGUCUGAGAGUCAAAUCUGCUAUGUCCUCGAUUUGUCCCUUGUAAGCACAAGGAUGCCAAACCAUCUUGAGUUUGUUUAAGAACAUUUGAGAGUCAUAUCUACAACGUCCUCGAUUUGUUCCUUGUAAACACAAGAAUACCAAAUCAUCUUGGAUCUGCCUCAGUAUAAACAUCUAAAGGUUAGAUCUGCUAUUUUCAAUUUGUUUCCCAUAAGCACAGGGAUGCCAUGUUGAAAUCUUUGAUCUUCAUUGUCCCUUAGAGGAUAUGACCUGUAGAAUGAGUAAGUGCCUAUGCCUAAGUAUGCUAUGAUUGAAAUGAGUCGAAUGUCCUUAACAUGUUAUGAUGUAAAGUGCUGUGAAUGUGACCCCUAUCUCAGGCGUCAUUAUUCAUCCCUUCAUUUGUCUUUCUCAAAAUUUCAGCUUGUAGGCCUUCAUCCAAUGCUAUGAUCUACUAAGGAUGUCUGUAAGAAUUGAAUCAUCCAUUUCUUUUUAGACUGGAAGAAAGAAAUCCCUCGAGUUCCUUCAUCCCUUACUUACGUAAAUUUCUCAAACAAUUGUCCUGUUUUAGUUUCUUGCAUUAUCUAGAAAUUCCAAAGUAAUGUGCAAAACUUCGUUUGUGAAAAUUUUAGUUCAUCUAUCAUUAUUUCAAUGCAACAUUCUUUAAAAAUAUCAGAAGAUGAGUAAAUAUUUGAGAAUAAUUGGAUUCGAAUUGUUAAUAGUACAUAAAAAAUCUUUCGAUUUAUAAAUAAUAUAACUCUUUCUUUGAAUUUUUUUUUUAUCUUUAAGAAGAAAUAGAAUCUAAAGAUAGCAGACAGGAUAAAAAUCAGAUGCUAUAAAUAUCGCCGCUUGAGCAUCUAUACAUUAGCUCCCCAAAGCCUUUUUUUUUGUUCGACAUGUGUUUAAAAGAUCCAAAGUACUUUGUUGAUGCCCCAAUGUACACUGUGCCUCACUCUCUGUCAAGUCAAAUAUAGCAAGGUUGCUGUGUGCCCUUCAAAAUUUGAGCUGCCCUUUCGGGUUUUCAACUCAAAAUCCCUUUGGUCACAAGGUGCCCUUUGUGGGUUUUCACCUUGGCCUCUCUAUUUUUUUUUAAAUUCAAGGCGCCCUUUGCGGGUUUUCACCUUGGAUUCUUUUCGUUUUUAGACAAAGUACUUUUUGACUAAGUCUGAGUUCACCGGAUUAGGUAGGCUCUUUCCAUCCAUUUCUGUCAAAAUCAAUGCACCACCAGAAAAAGCCUUCUUCACGACGUAUGGCCCCUCCCAAUUUGGCAUCCAUUUUCCUCUAAAGUCCUUCUGAAUAGGGAGGAUUUCUUUAGCACAAGGUCCCCCUCAUGGAAUUCCCUUGGACGAACCUUUUUAUCAUAAGCUCGCAUCAUACGCUUCUGGUACAUCUGACCAUGUCGGAUAGCCUUCAGCCUCUUUUCCUCAAUCAAGUUUAGCUGGUCAUAUCGAGACUGAACCCAUUCAGCUUCAUCUAACUUUAUCUCUGUUAAAAUUCGGAGAGAAGGUAUUUCCACUUCAAUAGGUAAAACUGCUUCCAUCCCGUAAACUAAUGAGAACGGAGUUGCCCCAAUAGAAGUUCUAACAGAUGUUCGAUAAGCCAAGAGUGCAAACGGUAGCUUUUCAUGCCAAUCCUUAUAAGUCUCAGUCAUCUUUCCCACUAUUUUCUUAAUGUUCUUAUUGGCAGCCUCCACUGCCCCAUUCAUCUUUGGACGAUAGGGUGAAGAGUUGUGAUGCUUGAUUUUGAACUGGUCGUAAACCUCUGCUAUCAUUUUAUUGUUCAAAUUCAAUGCAUUGUCGGAUAUGAUCCUCUCAGGCAUUCCAUACCGACAAAUGAUUUCUUUCUUCAAAAAUUGACUUACAGCUGACUUGGUAACAUUUGCGUAAGAAGCAGCCUCUACCCAUUUUGUAAAGUAGUCAAUAACUACGAAAAUAAACCGAUGUCCAUUCGAAGCUUUCGGCGAUAUUGGUCCGAUGACAUCCAUGCCCCACAUGGAAAAUGGCCAUGGAGACGUCAUGACAUGUAAAUGUGAGGGCGGUAUAUGAAUUUUGUCCCCAUAAAUCUGACACUUAUGGUAUUUUUUGGCAUAAUUGAUACAGUCUCCUUCCAUAGUGGCUCAGUAAUAGCCAAACCUCAUGAUUUGUCUUGCCAUCGUGAACCCAUUUGCAUGCGUACCACAUACACCUUCAUGGACCUCUUCUAGAAUUAGCUUGGUUUCCACAGCAUCAACAUAUCUCAAAAGUACUUGGUCUUUCCUUCUCUUGUACAAAACAUCCCCGUCCAAAAACAUAGUCACAAGCUAAUCUUCUCAGGGUUCGUUUGUCAUUUUCGGAUGCCUAUGCUGGAUAUUUACGAUCUCUUACAUAUCGUAAUAUAUCCUGAUACCAAGGAUUGUCAUCCUUUUCUUCCUCUUCAAGGUUACAACAGCUAGCUGGAAAUUCAUAGACACUAAUUUGAAUUGGUCUCAUCUCUUCCUCUUUGUUUGCCUUAAUCAUUGAAGCCAAGGUUGCUAAAGCAUCUGUCAUCUGAUUCUCAUCUCAUGGGAGAUAGUUGAAGGUGACGUCAUCGAACUCUCUUAGUAACCCCAAAACUACCAUUCGAUAAUUGAUCAAUUUAGGGUCUCUUGUCUCCCAUUCACCUCUUAGCUGAUAGAUUACCAACGCAGAAUCUCCAUAUACUUCUAGGGUUUUUAUGCCUCUUUCUAUGGCUGCUUAGAGCCCCAUGAUGCAUGCUUCGUAUUCAGCCAUAUUAUUUGUGCAGUUAAAAUCCAACUUGCACGUGAACGGGUAAUGGUCGCCAUUCGGGGAUACCAAGACUGCCCCAAUUCCAUUUCCGACUGCAUUAGAAUCCCCAUCAAAAUUUAGCUUCCAUGGAGAAUCUUCAGUUGCUGCUAUACACAUUAGCUCCUCAUUCAAAAAAUCAAAAUUCAAUGGCUCGUAAUCCUCCAAAGCUCUACUGGCCAAGAAGUCUGCCACCGCACUUAUUUUGAUAGCCUUCUGACUUACAUAGACUAUAUCGAACUCUGAAAGCAAAAUUUGCCAUCUCGCCAUUCUUCCAUUUAGAGCUGUUGAUUCCAUCAUGCAUUUUAAUGGAUCUAAUUUUGAGAUGAGCCAAGUAGUAUGGUAUAGCAUGUACUGUCUUAACCUCCGUGUGGUCCAAAUCAACGCACAGCACAACUUUUCGAUUGGCGAAUAUCUCAUUUCACAGUCAGUGAAUUUCUUACUGAGAUAAUAAAUUGCCUUUUCCUUUUUCCCUGACUUGUCAUGCUGACCAAGCACACAUCCCAUAGAAUUGUUGAACACUGACAAGUAUAGUAUUAACGGUUUAUCUGGACUAGGCGGAGAUAACACUGGAGCAUUCAACAAAUACUGCUUGACUUUCUCCAAAGCAUUCUGGCAUUCUUCAUCCCAAGCACCUUGAUUGUGCUUUCUGAGGCGAUGAAAGAUAGGAUCACAUUUCUCAGUCAAUUGUGAAAUGAACCGAGCAAUGUAAUUCAACCUUCCUAGGAAUCCUCGAACUUCUUUUUGAGUACGUGGUGGAGGCAACUCCCGUAUGGCUCUGACCUUUUCUGAGUCAACUUCGAUUCCCUUUUCACUGACUACGAAGCCUAAUAACUUUCCCGAUCUGGCUCCAAAUGUGCACUUUACUGGAUUGAGCUUCAACUGAAAUUUUCUCAAUCUUAAGAACAAUCCUCUCAAGACCUCAAUGUGUUCUUUUUCUAUUCGCGACUUGGCGAUCAUAUCACCAACGUAUACCUCAAUAUCCUUAUGCAUCAUGUCGUGAAACAAGUUUACCAUGGCUCGUUGGUAUGUUGCCCCUGCGUUCUUCAACCCAAACAGUAUUACUUUAUAACAAAAGGUGCCCCACAAUGUUAUGAAAGUAGUUUUAUCCAUAUCCUCUGGAUGCAUCUUUAUCUGAUUGUAUCCUAAGAAGCCGUCCAUGAAGAAGAACAACGAAUAUCCCGCUAUGUUGUCUACUAAAGUGUCAAUGUAUGGCAGAGGAAAAUUAUUCUUUGGGCUUGCUUUGUUUAGAUCUCAGUAAUCAACGCACAUUCGUACCUUCCCGUCUUUCUUAGGGACUGGUACAAUAUUAGCUACCCAUUCAGAAUACUUCACUUCCUGCAGAAAUCCUGCAUCAAACUGCUUCUUGACCUCAUCUUUUAUUUUCAGGACAAUGUCUGGCCGCAUCCUUCGCAACUUCUGUUGGACCGGUCUACAUUCUUGUCUUAUCGAAAGACGAUGUACUACAAUGUUAGUACUCAAUCCGGGUAUAUCCUGAUAAGACCAUGCAAAGAUAUCCUUGAAUUCCUGAAACAACUCAAUCAAGCUACGCCUUGUGUCAUUAGCGAUCAGUGUUCCAAUUUUCACCUCCUUCCCUUCCUCUAGGGCUACUAUUGCCUCUUUUUCAUGUGGCAUGAUUUGUUUCUCCUCCUGUUUUACCAUUCUUAAUAGAUCGAGAGAUACGCCACAAUCUUGAACAUUUUUAAAAUCCUGAGACUCCUCUAAACACAUAUCUUGCUCACAAGAGAAAUCAGGAACGGCAGUAUUAGCGCUCAUAUCAUUGAUAUCUAGAGACCUGUGAGGGGUAUGAAAGAAUAUACAAAGAAUGAAUGAAUUUGAGAAUGAUCGUUUAUGUGCUAUGAAUAAAAGAAUAAGAAUUGUUAGAAUUUAAAGGAAUAUUGGUUGAUAAAAAUGAGACAAUACUCUUUUAAAUUGGUAAAAGUUAUGUUUUAUUUGAAUAAUAAUAGAUGAACAUAAGCCUAUUUUCGCAAAUGUAAUCUUACUACUCCUAGGCCCUAGAGUAAUAAACAUGUUUCGAGAAUUACUCUGAAAAAUUUCUAAAGACUACAGGAAGAUCCUCCGCAGUCCAAUUGUUCAGAGAGCUCCCCGGUUCGUAAGGGUGAAUACCCUCAAGGUUUUCUUGUCUAAACCACUCAUUAUGUACAACAUUGAUUUGAUAACUCUCUUCUACUAGCAACCCUCCUGACUUAAAGGUUUUGGAUAUAGGUGGGAAUGUCAUCAGUUCCCACUCUACUUCUCCUCCGUUCAAACGCGCAUUCCUUCUUGCUUGACACUUUUCCAUCUCCUGUCUCUUUUGUUUAUGGUCUGGCUUAAAACCCAAACCAAAGCGAUCCUUUUUCUCCGUCAAUUUUGGGACUUGAAUCCCUCAUUGCAACUAUUUUCCUAGUCCUUUUCCUAGCAAUGCCCCUUUCCCCAUCAUUAUUUGCAAGGCCAUCCUUGUUGCUCUAGACAUCUUGGGAACCGACACCUUGCUUCCCUCCGAAAUGAAGGUACCAUUAACAAUUUCCAAGGAACGAAAAGAACACUCAAUAGCCUCCUCAUUUAUCUCCACAUAAGGAGGCUUACUAGUGACGGCUGCUAUGAUGUCUUCCUCUGCAUUGAUGGUUAUCAAGCGUCCAUCUGUCACCAACUUCAAUUUUUGGUGCAGUGAAGAAGGCACCGCUCCUGCCGAGUGUAUCUAUGGCCUCCCCAACAAACAAUUAUAGGAGGGCUUGAUAUCCAUUACCAGAAAGUCAACUUCAUACGUAUUUGGUCUAAUCUCCAGAGGGAUGUCAAUUCGUCCCAUUACUUUCCUUUCAGUUCCGUUAAAGGCUCUUACCACAUUAUGACACGUCUUCAUGUGCGAACUGUCAAUGGGUAAUCUGUUCAAUGUGGAUAAUAGCAGGACGUUUAAAGCGGACCCAUUAUCAACGAGUACACUUGGAAGCGUGUAUCCUUUGCAACGAGUGGUGAUGUGCAAAGCCUUAGUUGACACUAUGCCCCAGGUGGAAUUUCAUCAUCAUUGAAGUAGAUGAAAUUAUCAGCAUUGAUGUUAUUUAUCAACCGCUCCAACUUAUUGACAGAUAUAUCAUGAGUGACAUAUGUCUCGUUGAGUACCUUCAACAAUGCUUCUCGUUGCACUUCAGAGCUUAGCAGUAAGGCUAAAACCGAUAUGCAUGCUGGUUGCUUAUGCAACUGCUCGACCAUACUGUACUCACUAUGCUUAAGAAACUUUAGAAAUUCCUUAGCUUCCUCCUCCCUCACUGGCUCGUUAACAUGUGCUUCACUCUUUUUCUCAAUUUCAGCAUUCUUGGAUUUUAUGGGCUCCACUCUGACGUCCCCCAUAUUAUAACGCUUCUCACUUCGCGUAUGGGAACCUUCCUCUUGUACAUCUUUAGAUGCACUGGCUAUGUUUCCUUCUCUCGGCACCGUCACGCUAUAGUCAUAACUCCAUGGUUCUUUUUUGCUAUCCUUGUAAGGGAAAGGAGUAGGUGUAUGGAUAAUAACCUUGGGCGCUGCUGGUGUCCCCAUUUCAUUAUUCCCUGGCAGGGAGAUAAUGAUCCUUGGUCUACCGGUUCUUUGCUGUUCAAGCACACAUACUUGUUUUUCACUAGAGCUACCUUCAUAAACCUGUAGCUCUUUGUUGUCUAUGAGGCCUUGCACCAAGGCCUUGAAUUCCUCGUAAUCUUCACGGCACUCACCGUAGUCCCACGUGUUUUUAGAGGUCAACAUACCUCUCUUCAUCAUCUCCUCCCAAAUUACCCUCAUAGGCAUCCUUAUCUCAUCAACAUUUUUCUUUUCCCUUUUCUCACCGGCUUCACCAAUGGCAUUUACUCCUUGAUUGUCAUGGUUCGACAAAGGAUUCUCAGUAUUUGAGGUACUUUCAAAUUUUAAAACCCCAUUCUUGAUCAACCUCUCUACGGCUUUCUUGAAUCCAGUACAAUUCUCGAUUGAGUGCCGCGAUAUUCCAGCAUGAUACUAACAUCUAGCGUUUGCAUCAUACCAUUUAAGAUACGGAGGUUGUAAUGGUUUUAAAUGGAAAGGGGCUAUAGCAUGCGCAUCAUAUAGAUUUUGAUAGAGCUCCCUAUUCGUUAUAGGUAUAGGCGUAAAUUGCAUCCUCUCAUGCCUAAUGUUGGAUUCCUGCUUUUGAGAGUCUUGCUGCCCAACUGUGGCUACUUUGGGCUGGCUAACUGUGACUGCUUUUGAAUUAAAACCACUUGUAUUAUUUAUGUCAUUGUCUUUUCUUCUUGGGGCUAAUCUUUUGACUACUUCCCCCUCGAUUCUUCCUCCUCUUAUGGCAUUCUCUAUCAUUUCUCCUGCCAUAACUAUGUCCGCAAAACUUUUAGUAGUGCUUCCAAUUAUAUGAGUAAUACAUGGGGCUUUCAGAGUAUUAAUAAAUAACAUAGUGGUCUCUUUCUCCAACAGUGGUGGUUGAACCUACAUCGCUACCUCUCUCCACCUCUGUGCAUAUUGCCUAAAUUUCUCAUUAAGUUUCUUAUCCAUGUUUUGCAGGGUAAUCCUGUCAGGGGUCAUGUCUGUUACAUGAUUGUACUAUUGCAUAAAGGCUUGUGCAAGAUCCUUUCAUGAACUUAUUCUAGCCCGGCUCAACUGAUUGUACCAUCUGGCUGCCGCCCCUAUCAAACUAUCUUGAAAACAAUGGAUCAACAGCUGAUCAUUACUUACAUACCCCGUCAUCCUUCUGCAAAACAUUGUGAUGUGAGCCUCUGGACAAGUAGUGCCAUUGUACUUUUCAAAUUCUGGCAUUUUGAAUUUGUGAGGUAACACUAGGUUUGGGACCAGACUUAAGUCCUUGGCAUCAAUCCCAUGAUUAUUGCCAGUGCCUUCUAAAGCCUUGAACUUUUCUUCUAACCAUCUGCAGCGUUUAUCCAAUUGUCUUGCAGCUUGGGCUUUCAAAUCCUCCUUUUCCACCAUAUCUAAAUCGGGAACAAGAGGAUUAGUAAGAUUGUCACCCAUAUUAAGCCCUGAACCAAUUGGAAAAUUCACAUGGACACCAGCAUCAAUUGGCCCAUGCUGAGGCCUCACAGUAGUAGAUGGCCUUCUAGGAGGUGCCUCAGUUGGCAAUAAUACAUGCGGCGGUGUAAAACCUGGAGGAGGACCUUCAUUUUCCUCUUCAGUGAUGGCCAUAGGAGCCUUUCCUUUAUCAGUAGCCCUCAGUAACUGAGCCAUUUCGGCCAUUAUAUUCCUCUGAGCUUCCAUCAUUUGUUCCCUCAUCUCAUUCUGCAUUUUAGCCAACUGCUCUUGCAACUGGUCUUGCAUAUCCUUUUGCAACUGCUCAAACCUUUGAUCCAUGUUCUUAGUUUUAGUGCGAGUGCCGUAAGGAUGUGUAAUUUCCAGUUUUUCUUUUCUACCUUUAUAAAGAAACUUUAACUAAUUAGGGUCUUUCUAUAACCUUGAAUGCAUAUGAUAUGAUGUAAUGCAAAUGUAUGAAUGCAACAAAGGCAUCAAUCUCGAUUCAAUCUCAUUUAGAAAACUUUAUUUAGAAAAAGAAUAUCUUUACAUAUAAAUGGAUUACAAGUACGCUUUCGCCCUAAUGCCCAAAGUUUUAACUCUAUCUAAUAAAAGGGCUAACUUUCUUCCUAUCUCUGACGACGACCCACACAUCAUACUCAAUACAUCGGCUCGUACAGCCGAGUCUUGCACAUAUUCAGCAACCUCUCGAAUCUGAGCUAUGGCUUCUUCCAUGACAUGAUCCCUUUCUCUAAUCUGCCCUCUAGACUGAUAAAGUUCUCCCUUUAGAUAAUCUCCUUGCGUCUCGAGUUGCUCGAUCUGAAGUUUACCUUCCUGCAAUGCUGCUUCCAAAUUUUCAACUUUACUCUUUAGCUCUUUUAACUCGACCGUAGAAUCAUGGUUGUGAUGCCAAUGAAGGGAUAUUCCAAGCUCAGUUACUUUAGACUUCAACCCUUUAUUCUCUUCUUCUAAUGCCAAAUUCCACGAUUGCAUCUCCUGAAACUUCUUCUCCCAGUACUUAGCUCUAGCCUUUCCUUCUUGGACCUCUUUCUGUAACUGAUCUGAAGACCCUCCUAUUUUCGCUCUUCUUAAGGAUACCUGUGCCUUUUUGUAGUGUUCCUUCAAGUCAUCUCUAUCCUCUUCAAUCUUUCUCUUUUCCUUUCUUUCUUUUUCGACCUCCAUCUUCUGGACAUCAAUAUCUAAACUCAAAUACAUCUUUUCUUCUUCAAGCUUUGCUAUUCUUUUCUCGAGCUCCAGAUUUUUCCUCUCAAAUUUUUGCUUCAUAAUUUCUAACUCCGAGGGCAUCACUUGUAGAUAUUCCUCCAUCAGUCGAGCUCCUUCCAUAUUUGGCUCAAGAAUAUUAUCAUUAAUCCUUCUACCUCUCCAUUCAACAUAUUCUAGAGUCGUAGCAGGGCCAAUAGCUACUCCUUUCAACCGGCACGUCUUAUUCUAAGCACUAGAGAUCUCACCGACCCUUUUCUUGUAAUCGGCUCCUCUAUAUGCAAACUUACUUUGAGUUAGCCCAUGAGUUGCUGGCAUGAACUACCUCAAACCGAAUUGCCUUAACACGAGCAAGGGGGCAAACCAAUGGCACCUCAAAUUCCCAAUAAAGGGACCCAAUCGAAACUGCCACAACGGUAAAGAAUCUCACCAGGAAUCAUCCACGGAGCUCUCCACUCAACAUCUUUCGACUGAAGAUUUUGAAGUAGUGCCAUCCAAUUCUCCUCUGGAACAUCAACUCUCCUAGUUGAAGCGACUAUGUCCUUUAGCGGUGAGUAAUCCUCAAAGAAAACCCGACAAACGACCUUAUCUAUCAACCGAAAAUGACUAUAGAACCAAGCUAGAAGCAAUUGUGCACAACCAACAAACCUGCCUGCACCAGCUUUUCUACAUGUACCUAAGGACAUGAAUGUCUCUGCCAAAAUUGCAGGGACAGAAGUGACCCUCUUAUUGAGUCUAUGGAAAAGAUCCGUGGUUGCCUCAUCCACAUAUCCCAAAGCCCUAGGGAACACCAUCAAUCCGUACAAACUUAAGGCAAAAACAUCUACCCUCUUUGUUUCAUCGGGAUGUGUCAAAAUCAGACCUUUCAAAGCAUCCCAUGAAAUGCACUUGCACUCACCAUUCUCUUUAAUUCUGGCCGUAAUCCACUGCUUACUCAUCCCUGUAAUAGUCAUCAAUUUCUUCCAAAAGGUAGGGACAUUAGCAGCUCGAGAAUAGAUUCUAUCAACCUGGAACCUGGGACAACGUAACAAGGCAGUGUACUCCUCUACGGUAGGCACCAAGUCUACCUCCCCAAAAGUAAAGCAACUAUAUGCUGGAUUUCCCAAACUGAGUGAGGGCUAGGAACAAGUGCUCAUCUAUUUGAACAUCGAGCAAGUAAGGUAAAUCUCCAUAAUUACCGUAGAAUUACUGUUUAGUCUCGUUGCCCCAUUGAUCCAAAAUCUCCUUAAGUUCUUGGAGAUUAUUCUGCGUGACACUGAUGCAGGUAUAUCCUGACAGCUCCGACAUAUAUCCCGCAGCUAUACUAUCUCCCUUUUCUAACUGAGUUUGCUCAGACCAUCUAUGGACAUUGGCAUUGCUCUCCACUCUAUCAAGAAGUCCGUUCUCUAUAAUAAAACUCCCUAACUUAGAAACUGACCGUGAAUCGAUACCUUUGUGAAUGUAAAAUGUCAUGCAAACAAAAGAAAAGAAAUAGUCAGUAUCAUAUGAUAUCAAUAAAUCUCAACAAUAAUUUAUAAGGAUAAUAUCUAAAGUUUAACUCUAACUAAGUUGGGCUCUUACGGUUUUUUUCUAUAUGAGGUUGGUUCUAAAGUUUGAGGUACCUGAACCAGCAGAUUCCUCAAUCCUCACCCAUAAUAGGCUCAUUUGAAUCGAGUUCAGUUCAGGGGAAUACAUUUCCCUAUGGCUACAAGGAAAUGAAAAUCUCACGAAACCAUAGGUACGGACGUAUCCCGAAAGUGAUCCACUAUCCUGCACGGAGGCGAAAACCUCACGAAAGCGUAGCUUCUCACUCCCACUUAAGGGUGUGACCACAACGGUCAUGUAAAUGCAAUGCGUAUUAGAAUAUAGCAACACAUACAAUAAUUCAAACACAUGUAAUGCAAAGAGGAUUAAAUCUUAAAAUUUUUUAUAUUUCUGACAUUAAGAUAAGAGGUAAUCUUGACUCUCUUAAAACGUCCCCAGUGGAGUUGCCAAGCUGUCGAAACCAUUUUUUAAAUCGAGUUUUGGAAAAUGGGAAUCGAUUUUUAAAAAAAGGAAAACGGGAGUCGCCACCAAUCUUUUUAGGUGUGAUUGGAUCACCUUUAAAACAUUUGUUUUAAAAUCGUUGGUUUUGGUCUACGAAAUCAAAAAAAUGGGUUCGAGAGUCGGUUACGUACGAGGAAAGGUUAGCACCCUCGUAACGCCCAAAAAAUGGUACCUAAUUGAUUAUCAAAAUGUCUCUAAUGUCGGAAAUUAAAAAAUUUAAGAUGUAAUCUUCUUUAAAGUAUUUGAAAAUUUGGGUUUACUUGUAUCAAAGUAUCGACUAUAGGUUAGCCUUUAGAAAUCUCUAUCUCAAAACAGCAAAAUGCUACAUCCAGUAAGUUAGGACAUACCACUUUGCAAUUCCAAGACAGUCACUCAUAUUUUGAAAUCCUUUAAAAACUUUAGAAGGGUACUUGACUAUUCAAACUUAACGAGAAAAGUUACAACCCAAUAAGUUAGGGCACUACUUUUUCGAAAUUUCCAAACACCAAGUAUUGCCUUUAUAUUUUUUGAAAAUUUUGGAGACUUGUCUUUUUAAAGAUGAUGCAUGGAGAAUUGUAUUGCAUUAUAAAUCAUAAUAAUAUAUUAUUGUACUAGGUAAAUAAAAAAUGAAUACUACGAUAUAAAGAAUAAUACAUAUAAAGCAAAAAAAUGCAAACAAAGAUAUGUAGCAUGAAUAAACAAGAUAUAUAAACAUAUGAGAUAAUGUUUAAAUGAUGCAUGAUAUAAAAACAAACAUAAUCAAAUAAUGAAUGAUAUACAAAUAGAAUAAAUGUAAUGUCAAUAUGCAUAUAAUUAUAAAAAUUUAACACAUACAUGAUACAUACAAUACAAAACAUAUAAAAGAACUAAUAAAAAAUGAUUGAUUGCUAACAAAAUAUACAUACAAUUAAAAACGAGAUAUUUCAUUUCCAUUUUAAAAUAGUAUCUAAUAUAUAAUAUAAUAACAUAAUAAAAAGAAUAAUAAUUAUAUAAUAAUAUAUUGGUUUGAAAGUAUGUAAGAAAUUUCAUAAUAUAACAAUAUUAGUUUAAAAUGAAAUAAUAUAUAUAGUAAAUAAAUAAAAAAUGAAAUGUGUAUAUAAUGUGAGUUAAAAAAUAUGAUUUAAUAAUAAUAAUUUACAUUUUUAAAAUAAUAUAAUUUGCGAUACAUGAUAUACAUAACAUAUAUAUAUAUAAAAAACAAUAAAUAAUAUAAAAAUAAAACAUAAUAAAGAUUGCAUAAUAAAAUGUAAUAUAAACCUAUAAGAAAAGUAAUAGAUAUAAUAUAAAGUAACGUAUAAAACAAUAUAUAUAUAUAAGUAAUUAAUAAAUAUAAUAUAUGUGAAAAUAUAAUAAUAUAUGAAAGAGAUGUAAAAUAAUAAUUUAAGGAAAAUAAUAUAUAUAAUAAGUAAUAAUAAUAUAUAAUUAAAAAAGAAUACUUAUAAUAGAAUAAUUUUAUAAUAUAUAAUAUAAAAGUAAAAUUAAAAUAAACAAAUAAUAUAUAUAUAUAGAAUAAUAUAAUAAAUAUAGGACUAAAUUUAAAGUUUAACAAAAUUGUGGGGCAAAUUUUGAAAGGAAUAAAACUGAAUUAAGGAUUAAAAUAAUAAAUAAUAAGUAAGGAUUAAAAUUAAAACUAGAUAGAAUAUUAGGGCUAAUUUAAAAAAAAUAAAAAAAAAUUUGGAUUAAUUCGGAAUGCACGCUAAAAGCUCAGGGACUCAUUGAGUAAAUAACCCUAGUCCCUGAAACGGUGUCGCUCUCAGGGUUAGCUUUUUAAAGAACAGAGGACUAAAUUAUAAUGAAAACAGAAGAUUUGGGCCAAUUUUAAAUAAAACGAGAUUUAAAUCAGAUGAAAUUAAAUAAUCUAAAAAUGCGAAAGGAUCGAGGGAAUAAAUGUCCCACUAUAGCGGUAAAACACGUGGACCUUCGGAUCAGAUCGAGUCGGAUUUUGGACCCUAUAUAAAUCCCAUUUUGCCCAAAAAAAAUCAUUUUGUAACUCCUUUUAAAAAAAAUACUAAAAAACCUCUAAAAAAGGGCUCCGACCCUCGGAGCUCCGGCCUCGUGGCCGUCCUGGCUCGUCCCAGAGUCGGGCAUGCAUGGUCUCCACGCGCUUAACGAGCCGCCACCAGAGCCACCGUAUACGGUGGUUAGGGUUUCAAAAACCCUCUAUUUUCUUUUCUGAUUCUCAGGUAUCAACCUUCUCCAUCUGUUUUUAGUUUCUAUUUUUUAGAUCUGCGUGUGUGCAUGUUAGUAAAUGACCAGAUUAGAUUAAAAAAGAAAAAAAACGAUUCGAUUACCUUUGAAAAACGAGAUUCGCUUUUUAUUUCUCUGUUUCAAAAGGAUUACAAUGGUUCGUGUUAUUCUAUUAGGUAAAUCCCUAUACCUUUUUUUUUGUUUCUCUUUGCUUCUAAAAACUCUGUUUUUUGAUUCCCUGCUAUUCUUCUCUCUGCUUUUGUGUGGGUGUAUUUCUGCUAUCAGGUCUUUCUCCCUACCUGUCUUUUUACAGAUUAAAAAGAAGGCUUUAUAGCCUCGACUACUAUAAGUUUUGGAAAGAAAUCUCCGAUUUCUUUCCGUAUUUGCUUCGCAUGUCUGCUGUGAUUUUCUUUCCUUUUCUUGCAGGUACUUGCGAAAAAUCCGGCAAUGGCAAAGACUUGACGGUGGUCCACUGGUAGUGUUGAUCUCGGCGUGACUUGGGGCCUGGAAUCAUGGCCUUGACGGGGUAGUAGGAGCUGAAGAGUCAUGAGGCUUGGCUUCUGGAACCUUCUGUUUGCGGCGCGAUGAGAAAGAGGGCAGAAACCCUAGGGUUUCCUACUUGGGUCUGCAGAUGUUUGGGCCAAUUGGGCCUCUGGAAAUUUUGGGUGUUUUGGGCUACCAGUCUGUAAUGGGUCCAUUGCAACUGUUUGGGACUUAGUUUAGGCUGGGCUAGUCUAGUAAAAUUUGGCUGUUGGGUCUGUGUAUUUAGGCUUUGUAAAAAAAACUUUUAUGAACUGUUUAAAUUAAAUAAAUAAAUAUUUAUUAAUUUUUCAGUUUUAAUAAUCCGGGCAAAUUUUGGUGAUUACAACUAUGAUAUGAUUUCUAUUACUUUGAUUAUUAAUGUAACCCUAAUUACUUAUACAUUAAUGAUUAAUUUGGUUGAUUAUGUUACUAGAAAUUUGUCAAAAGGG
rnacentral:lncRNA from 1 species